rnacentral:rRNA from 1 species
UGGGGAAUAUUGCACAAUGGGGGAAACCCUGAUGCAGCGACGCCGCGUGGAGGAAGAAGGUCUUCGGAUUGUAAACUCCUGUUGUUGAGGAAGAUAAUGACGGUACUCAACAAGGAAGUGACGGCUAACUACGUGCCAGCAGCCGCGGUAAAACGUAGGUCACAAGCGUUGUCCGGAAUUACUGGGUGUAAAGGGAGCGCAGGCGGGAGAACAAGUUGGAAGUGAAAUCCAUGGGCUCAACCCAUGAACUGCUUUCAAAACUGUUUUUCUUGAGUAGUGCAGAGGUAGGCGGAAUUCCCGGUGUAGCGGUGGAAUGCGUAGAUAUCGGGAGGAACACCAGUGGCGAAGGCGGCCUACUGGGCACCAACUGACGCUGAGGCUCGAAAGUGUGGGUAGCAAACAGGAUUAGAUACCCUGGU